AUUGAACGCUGGCGGCAGGCCUAACACAUGCAAGUCGAGCGAGCGGCGGACGGGUGUGUAUUGUCUGGGACACUGCCUGAUGGAGGGGGGUAACUACUGGAAACGGUAGCUCAUAUCCCAUACCAUCUGAUGUGACCAGAUGGGGUUGGCUGGUAGGUGGGGUAACGGCUCACCUAGGCGACGAGCCCUCGCUGGUCUGAGAGGGUGACCAGCCAAACUGGAACUGAGACACGGUCCAGACUCCUACGGGAGGCAGCAGGGGGAAUAUUGCACAAUGGGGGCAAGCCUGAUGCAGCCAUGCCGCGUGGGUGAAGAAGGCCUUCGGGUUGUAAAGCACUUUCAGCGGGGAGGCGGUACCCGCAGAAGAAGCACCGGCUAACUCCGUGCCAGCAGCCGCGGUAAUAC
rnacentral:rRNA from 1 species